rnacentral:piRNA from 1 species
UAGGAACAGAGCUAAGAAGUCAGCUUCUGG